AACGAACGCUGGCGGCAGGCCUAACACAUGCAAGUCGAGCGCCCCGCAAGGGGAGCGGCGGACGGGUGAGUAACGCGUGGGAACGUACCCUUUGCUACGGAAUAGCCUCGGGAAACUGGGAGUAAUACCGUACGUGCCCUUCGGGGGAAAGAUUUAUCGGCAAAGGAUCGGCCCGCGUUGGAUUAGGUAGUUGGUGGGGUAAUGGCCUACCAAGCCGACGAUCCAUAGCUGGUUUGAGAGGAUGAUCAGCCACACUGGGACUGAGACACGGCCCAGACUCCUACGGGAGGCAGCAGUGGGGAAUCUUAGACAAUGGGCGCAAGCCUGAUCUAGCCAUGCCGCGUGAGCGAUGAAGGCCUUAGGGUUGUAAAGCUCUUUCAGUGGGGAAGAUAAUGACUGUACCCACAGAAGAAGCCCCGGCUAACUCCGUG
rnacentral:rRNA from 1 species